rnacentral:tRNA from 15 species
UCAACGCUGAGAAAUGUGAACUUGUUCGGCCUUCUAAGCCGAGGGUCGGGGGUUCGAGCCCCUCCUGUCGCGCCA